CCUAGCAGAAGAAUGGAGGCAGGUCACUUCUGCUUUAAGAUUCCACCAACCCCUAAAAAACAAAACCCCUUUUCUUUCGUUCCAGUUUAACUUCAUUUCUGGGCUACUUGAGUGCCACACAAGGAGACCAUCAGAGGAGCCUAGCAGAAGAAUGGAGGCAGGUCACUUUUUUGCCUAAGGAACUUAGUGGCAAAUGUUAAAAAUACA